AUGACGGUACCCAUAGAAGAAGCCCCGGCUAACUUCGUGCCAGCAGCCGCGGUAAUACGAGGGGGGCAAGCGUUGUUCGGAAUUAUUGGGCGUAAAGGGUGCGUAGGCGGUCUGACAAGUCUGAUGUGAAAUCUAUGGGCUCAACCCAUAGUCUGCAUCGGAAACUGUCGGGCUUGAGUAUGGGAGAGGUGAGUGGAAUUUCCGGUGUAGCGGUGAAAUGCGUAGAUAUCGGAAGGAACACCUGUGGCGAAAGCGGCUCACUGGACCAUUACUGACGCUGAGGCACGAAAGCUAGGGGAGCAAACAGGAUUAGAUACCCUGGUAGUCCACGCCCUAAACGAUGCAUAUUUGGUGUGGGCAGUUCAUUCUGUCCGUGCCGGAGCUAACGCGUUAAAUAUGCCGCCUGGGGAGUACAGUCGCAAGGCUGAAACUCAAAGGAAUUGACGGGGGCCCGCACAAGCGGUGGAGCAUGUGGUUCAAUUCGACGCAACGCGAAGAACCUUACCUGGGCUCGAACGGCUGGUCAACGGAGGUGGAAACAUCUUUACCCCGCAAGGGGGUCCAGUCGAGGUGCUGCAUGGCUGUCGUCAGCUCGUGUCGUGAGAUGUUGGGUUAAGUCCCGCAACGAGCGCAACCCUUGUCCUGUGUUGCCAUGGUGAAAACCGGAACUCGCAGGAGACCGCCAGCGAUAAGCUGGAGGAAGGUGGGGAUGACGUCAAGUCCUCAUGGCCUUUAUGUCCAGGGCUACACACGUGCUACAAUGGACGGUACAAAGCGUUGCUAACCUGCGAAGGGGAGCCAAUCGCAAAAAACCGUUCUCAGUUCGGAUUGCAGGCUGCAACUCGCCUGCAUGAAGCUGGAAUCGCUAGUAAUGGCAGAUCAGCACGCUGCCGUGAAUACGUUCCCGGGCCUUGUACACACCGCCCGUCACAUCACGAAAGUGGAUUGUACUAGAAGUCUGCAGGCUGACCCGCAAGGGGGGCAGCGGCCCAAGGUAUGAUCCAUGAUUGGGGUGAAGUCGUAACAAGGUAACCAA
rnacentral:rRNA from 1 species